rnacentral:lncRNA from 1 species
UUACAUGCAGAUGCCAUGUGCUCCAUUUUAUUGGACAACUCUUUCUUUUUGUUGAAUUUUUUUAGGAACUCAAUAUACCCAGGGAUUGGCUGCAGUGUUCUUUUCAUAGGAAGUUUAAUUUUCAAUUUCUUGAAGAUUCUUUUUAGUUGCUUGGAGUGUUUUUCUUUCUUCUUCCUAUAAUGCUUCUUUGAGUAAUAUAAAGGUUUUUCAUACUCCUUUUCUCCUUCUUUUUCUUCCUCUGUGUCUAUCUUUUCUUUGCUCAAAUUUUUUUUUCACCUUCUAUUCUUUUCUUAUCUGUUUUCUUUUCCUCCCUUACAUCCUUUUCUUUUUUUUUCUCAAACAUUCUUUUUCUUCUCUCUCUAUUUUUUUCUCAUCCUCUUUCUUUUCUUCCCUCUCUUUUUUCCUUUCUUUUCCCUCACUUUCUUCCUUUUCUUUCUCUACUUUUUCUUUUCCAUUCAACCUUUCUUUUCCUUCUCUCUCUAUUUUU